rnacentral:rRNA from 1 species
UAGAGUUUGAUCCUGGCUCAGAUUGAACGCUGGCGGCAGGCUUAACACAUGCAAGUCGAGCGGUAACAGGAAUAGCUUGCUAUUUGCUGACGAGCGGCGGACGGGUGAGUAAUGCUUGGGAAUAUGCCUUAUGGUGGGGGACAACAGUUGGAAACGACUGCUAAUACCGCAUAAUGUCUACGGACCAAAGGGGGGGAUCUUCGGACCUCUCGCCAUUUGAUUAGCCCAAGUGAGAUUAGCUAGUUGGUAAGGUAAUGGCUUACCAAGGCGACGAUCUCUAGCUGGUUUGAGAGGAUGAUCAGCCACACUGGGACUGAGACACGGCCCAGACUCCUACGGGAGGCAGCAGUGGGGAAUAUUGCACAAUGGGGGAAACCCUGAUGCAGCCAUGCCGCGUGUGUGAAGAAGGCCUUCGGGUUGUAAAGCACUUUCAGUUGUGAGGAAAGGUGUGUAGUUAAUAGCUGCAUACUGUGACGUUAACAACAGAAGAAGCACCGGCUAACUUCGUGCCAGCAGCCGCGGUAAUACGAGGGGUGCAAGCGUUAAUCGGAAUUACUGGGCGUAAAGCGUUCGUAGGCGGUUGAAUAAGCAAGAUGUGAAAGCCCAGGGCUCAACCUUGGAACUGCAUUUUGAACUGUUCGACUAGAGUACUGUAGAGGGGGGUAGAAUUUCA